GACGAACGCUGGCGGCGUGCUUAACACAUGCAAGUCGAACGCUGAAGCUCAGCUUUUGUUGGGUGGAUGAGUGGCGAACGGGUGAGUAACACGUGAGUAACCUGCCUCCUUCUUUGGGAUAACGCCCGGAAACGGGUGCUAAUACUGGAUAUUCACUGGUCUUCGCAUGGGGGUUGGUGGAAAGGGUUUUUCUGGUGGGGGAGGGGCUCGCGGCCUAUCAGCUUGUUGGUGGGGUGAUGGCCUACCAAGGCUUUGACGGGUAGCCGGCCUGAGAGGGUGACCGGUCACAUUGGGACUGAGAUACGGCCCAGACUCCUACGGGAGGCAGCAGUGGGGAAUAUUGCACAAUGGGCGCAAGCCUGAUGCAGCGACGCCGCGUGAGGGAUGGAGGCCUUCGGGUUGUGAACCUCUUUCGCUCAUGGUCAAGCCGCAACAAUGGUUGUGGUGAGGGUAGUGGGUAAAGAAGCGCCGGCUAACUACGU
rnacentral:rRNA from 1 species